rnacentral:rRNA from 1 species
CCUACGGGUGGCAGCAGUGGGGAAUAUUGCGCAAUGGGCGAAAGCCUGACGCAGCGACGCCGCGUGAGGGAUGAAGGUCUUCGGAUCGUAAACCUCUGUCAGCAGGGAAGAACGGUCACUGUGCUAAUCAGCAGUGCAUUGACGGUACCUGCAAAGGAAGCACCGGCUAACUCCGUGCCAGCAGCCGCGGUAAUACGGAGGGUGCGAGCGUUAAUCGGAAUUACUGGGCGGAAAGCGCUCGUAGGCGGUAUGUCAAGUCAAGUGUGAAAUCCCCGGGCUCAACGUGGGAAUUGCCUUUGAAACUGGCAAACUGGAGUGUGGGAGAGGAGAGUGGAAUUCCAGGUGUAGGAGUGAAAUCCGUAGAUAUCGGGAGGAACAUCAGUGGCGAAGGCGACUAUCUGGAACAUAACUGACGCUGAGGAGCGAAAGCGUGGGUAGCAAACAGGAUUAGAUACCCGAGUAGUC